ACGCUGGCGGCGUGCCUAAUACAUGCAAGUCGAGCGAGCUGAAUUCAAAGAUCCCUUCGGGGUGAUUUGUUGGACGCUAGCGGCGGAUGGGUGAGUAACACGUGGGCAAUCUGCCCUAAAGUCUGGGAUACCACUUGGAAACAGGUGCUAAUACCGGAUAACAACAUGAAUCGCAUGAUUCAAGUUUGAAAGGCGGCGUAAGCUGUCACUUUAGGAUGAGCCCGCGGCGCAUUAGCUAGUUGGUGGGGUAAAGGCCUACCAAGGCAAUGAUGCGUAGCCGAGUUGAGAGACUGAUCGGCCACAUUGGGACUGAGACACGGCCCAAACUCCUACGGGAGGCAGCAGUAGGGAAUCUUCCACAAUGGACGCAAGUCUGAUGGAGCAACGCCGCGUGAGUGAAGAAGGUUUUCGGAUCGUAAAGCUCUGUUGUUGGUGAAGAAGGAUAGAGGCAGUAACUGGUCUUUAUUUGACGGUAAUCAACCAGAAAGUCACGGCUAACUACGUGCCAGCAGCCGCGGUAAUACGUAGGUGGCAAGCGUUGUCCGGAUUUAUUGGGCGUAAAGCGAGCGCAGGCGGAAUGAUAAGUCUGAUGUGAAAGCCCACGGCUCAACCGUGGAACUGCAUCGGAAACUGUCAUUCUUGAGUGCAGAAGAGGAGAGUGGAACUCCAUGUGUAGCGGUGGAAUGCGUAGAUAUAUGGAAGAACACCAGUGGCGAAGGCGGCUCUCUGGUCUGCAACUGACGCUGAGGCUCGAAAGCAUGGGUAGCGAACAGGAUUAGAUACCCUGGUAGUCCAUGCCGUAAACGAUGAGCGCUAGGUGUUGGGGACUUUCCGGUCCUCAGUGCCGCAGCAAACGCAUUAAGCGCUCCGCCUGGGGAGUACGACCGCAAGGUUGAAACUCAAAGGAAUU
rnacentral:rRNA from 1 species